AGUAAAGUCAGCUAAUAAAGCUCUUGGGCCCAUACCCCAAAAAUGUUGGUCAAACCCCUCCUUUACUAAUGAACCCCUACAUUAUAUCCAUCUUAAUGUGCAAUUUAGCCCUUGGAGCAAUCAUCACAGCUGCCAGCUAUCAUUGAUUUCUAGCCUGAAUCGGAUUAGAACAAAACACCCUUGCCAUCAUUCCAAUCCUAGCUAAACACCACCACCCACGAGCCACCGAAGCCGCAACAAAAUACUUUAUUAUUCAAGCAACUGCUUCAUCCAUUAUUUUAUUUUCAAGUAUUAUUAAUGCAUGAUACACCGGAACCUGAGAUAUUACUCAACUUACAACACAGCCAACCCCUACCAUACUAUUAAUUGCCCUAACCAUAAAGCUAGGCCUAGCUCCCAUGCACUUCUGAUUACCAGAAGUUAUACAAGGCACUGACACCACAACAGCCUUCAUCAUUGCAACAUGACAAAAAUUACCACCAAUAUCACUACUUUACCUUACCUCUGAUCAAUUUUCAAUAAUACUUCUAUCACUAUUAGCCAUCUCCUCCACCUUAAUUGGGGGAUGAUCCGGACUUAAUCAAACCCAGCCACAAAAAAUUAUAGCAUUUUCAUCAAUUGGACAUCUAGGGUGAAUAAUCUCAAUCUCACUUAUUUCCCAAAAACUUCUUCUCCUUACUUUAAUAAUUUACUUAUUAAUAACAACUUCAAUAUUUAUAAUUCUUAUUAUCUCAACAACCAAAACUACCAAAGAUUUAGGAACAAUAUGAACAAUUUCCCCGACACUUUCCACAAUUACAAUGAUUACUCUUAUAGCACUAGGAGGACUUACCCCCAUUAACCGGCUUUAUUCCCAAAUGACUAAUUCUAAAAGAAUUAACCACUAACUCCCUAUUACCACUAGCAACUGCCCUCGCACUAUCUUCCCUAUUAAGCCUAAUAUUUUAUAUACGUCUAACUUAUGUUUCAACCCUAACCAUUUCUCCAAAUACAUCCAACAAUCCAAUAAAAUGACGAUUUAAACCCACCAAACCAAUUAACCCUGCCCCCAUAAUUAUUAGCAUGCUUCUAUUAAUCCCAAUCACACCACUAAUUUACACUU